UGGCUCAUGGCUCAGUCGGUAGAGCAUGAGACACUUAAUCUCAGGGUCAUGGGUCCAAGCCCCACAUUGGACAAA